GACGAACGCUGGCGGCGUGCUUAACACAUGCCAGUCGAACGGAAAGGCCCUGCUUUGGUGGGGUGCUCGAGUGGCGAACGGGUGGGUAACACGGGAGUAACCUGCCCUUGACUUUGGGAUAACUUCAGGAAACUGGGGCUAAUACCGGAUAGGAGCUCCUGCUGCAUGGUGGGGGUUGGAAAGUUUCGGCGGUUGGGGAUGGACUCGCGGCUUAUCAGCUUGUUGGUGGGGUAGUGGCUUACCAAGGCUUUGACGGGUAGCCGGCCUGAGAGGGUGACCGGCCACAUUGGGACUGAGAUACGGCCCAGACUCCUACGGGAGGCAGCAGUGGGGAAUAUUGCACAAUGGGCGGAAGCCUGAUGCAGCAACGCCGCGUGCGGGAUGACGGCCUUCGGGUUGUAAACCGCUUUCGCCUGUGACGAAGCGUGAGUGACGGUAAUGGGUAAAGAAGCACCGGCUAACUACGUG
rnacentral:rRNA from 1 species